ACAUAGAAACCUGCUAUAGAACAACCGGUGCCGCCAUCUUGGAUAUGAUGAUGAUGAUCUGAGCAAAGCUUGGCUCAUUAUCGUACCACGUGACCUGGGAAAAUCUCGACCCCAGGGUCGGUAGAACUAAUGCCUUGCCUAGCUUGCAGACUGAUCUGGGAAAGAGAGCGGGCUUUAGACAUGCGCACUGGCUGUUUUUUCAAUAAUGAAGAAGACGUCCUACCGAAUGCAAAAAACCGGAGGUUUCUAGGACGAAUUUCGGGACUCCCAAGAGCAGCUGAAAGUUGAAGAGAACUGGGAACUGGCUGGCCCCUAGUACUAGUAGUAGUACCAUGCCUGCUGUAGCAUCCUCUCAGUCUACCUGACCACUGCAUGAGGGUUCUGUUGUUGAGCCAAAAAAAACUAUGUGGCUUAACUGAACAAAGUUCAACAGUUUCAAAAUAUGUUACUAAAUGAUAUAUCAUAAUUUAUAGGCCACAUUUGUGCAGCAUUUGUAAGAUAACUUAAUAACAUAUAGUCUAGCUCUGAUGCUUGUAGCCUUUUCCCCUUUGAUGAGGGAAAUACACCAUAAAAUGUUAUUGUAUACAUUUUAUUACAAUAUUAUUUCAAUGGCCACCAAAUUAGCAACCCGAAACAAUUCAUUACUGAUUGUUAGAUACGUUUCACGAUUAUCAAUUUGUUUUAUUGUGUAACUGUUGGUGUACAAAGACUAUUCUAUAGUGACUUUUAUUAUGAUCACAUGGAUAGGACCACCAUGAAGUAGACAAUAGGUUCAAUAACUUAUACUAAAGUAUCUAAAGUCAUACUUCUUAAAUGAAACGUCUGUACAGUGUUUUUAUUCAUGUCAUAAUAAAUAUAUUUGACAAAAUA